UCAACCGUCAAGCCUGGCUUGUUAUUGGGUUUUAUAUCGUUAAAGAUAGACCUAAAAGAUAAUGACGGUGUUAAUAAUGAUCUCCGGUGCAGCGAGCUUAAAAGCAUACACCGUGAUGAUUUUAUUAAUCCCAGUCUAUUUUGGUUAAACAUUUCAGUUAAACCACUUCUAA
rnacentral:misc_RNA from 1 species